rnacentral:rRNA from 1 species
UACGUAGGGCGCAAGCGUUAAUCGGAAUUACUGGGCGUAAAGCGUGCGCAGGCGGUUUUGUAAGUCUGACGUGAAAUCCCCGGGCUCAACCUGGGAAUUGCGUUGGAGACUGGAAGGCUGGAGUCUGGCAGAGGGGGGUAGAAUUCCACGUGUAGCAGUGAAAUGCGUAGAGAUGUGGAGGAACACCGAUGGCGAAGGCAGCCCCCUGGGCCAAGACUGACGCUCAUGCACGAAAGCGUGGGGAGCAAACAGG